rnacentral:lncRNA from 1 species
GGGGGGGCAGAAGUGCCCUUUUAGUUGUAAAAUAAUACGUGAUAAAUCACAUUUCCAACGAUGCUUUUUGUAGGAAAAUCACGAGAUUCAGGUAAUUUAUAGUUUAUAUUUAUAAAAUUUUGGGAAAUUUUUGGAAUUUAGAAAAAUAUUUUGAAGAAAUGGCGAAAAUUUAAGAUAUCCGGAAAAAUUUUUGGCUUCACGGAAAAUUUUUGUAUGUCCGGAAAAUUUUUUUGACCCCUAAAAUGGUACACUGACCGAAAUUUUUUUGGCGACGGGGGGGGGGGGGGAGGUCGCCAAAAAAUUUUGCAGUGAAAAAAAAAAUUUCAGUAAAGGUGCUCUUGGUGUGCGUCCGCCCCCCUUUGCCCUAUUAUCGUUCCGGCGUCC